AAAGGCCGAUAGCUUGCUCUCGGGUGACGAGCGGCGGACGGGUGAGUAAUGUCUGGGAAACUGCCUGAUGGAGGGGGAUAACUACUGGAAACGGUAGCUAAUACCGCAUAACGUCGCAAGACCAAAGUGGGGGACCUUCGGGCCUCAUGCCAUCAGAUGUGCCCAGAUGGGAUUAGCUAGUAGGUGGGGUAACGGCUCACCUAGGCGACGAUCCCUAGCUGGUCUGAGAGGAUGACCAGCCACACUGGAACUGAGACACGGUCCAGACUCCUACGGGAGGCAGCAGUGGGGAAUAUUGCACAAUGGGCGCAAGCCUGAUGCAGCCAUGCCGCGUGUGUGAAGAAGGCCUUCGGGUUGUAAAGCACUUUCAGCGGGGAGGAAGGCGAUGAGGUUAAUAACCUUGUCGAUUGACGUUACCCGCAGAAGAAGCACCGGCUAACUCCGUGCCAGCAGCCGCGGUAAUACGGAGGGUGCAAGCGUUAAUCGGAAUUACUGGGCGUAAAGCGCACGCAGGCGGUCUGUCAAGUCGGAUGUGAAAUCCCCGGGCUCAACCUGGGAACUGCAUUCGAAACUGGCAGGCUAGAGUCUUGUAGAGGGGGGUAGAAUUCCAGGUGUAGCGGUGAAAUGCGUAGAGAUCUGGAGGAAUACCGGUGGCGAAGGCGGCCCCCUGGACAAAGACUGACGCUCAGGUGCGAAAGCGUGGGGAGCAAACAGGAUUAGAUACCCUGGUAGUCCACGCCGUAAACGAUGUCGAUUUGGAGGUUGUGCCCUUGAGGCGUGGCUUCCGGAGCUAACGCGUUAAAUCGACCGCCUGGGGAGUACGGCCGCAAGGUUAAAACUCAAAUGAAUUGACGGGGGCCCGCACAAGCGGUGGAGCAUGUGGUUUAAUUCGAUGCAACGCGAAGAACCUUACCUGGUCUUGACAUCCACAGAACUUUCCAGAGAUGGAUUGGUGCCUUCGGGAACUGUGAGACAGGUGCUGCAUGGCUGUCGUCAGCUCGUGUGUGAAAUGUUGGGUUAAGUCCCGCAACGAGCGCAACCCUUAUCCUUUGUUGCCAGCGGUUCGGCCGGGAACUCAAAGGAAACUGCCAGGGAUAACUGGAGGAAGGGGGGAUAAC
rnacentral:rRNA from 1 species